rnacentral:tRNA from 1 species
CGCGGGGUAGAGCAGUUGGCAGCUCGUCGGGCUCAUAACCCGGAGGUCGUAGGUUCGAGUCCUACCCCCGCUA